GACGAACGCUGGCGGCGUGCCUAAUACAUGCAAGUAGAACGCACAGUUUAUACCGUAGCUUGCUACACCAUAGACUGUGAGUUGCGAACGGGUGAGUAACGCGUAGGUAACCUGCCUGGUAGCGGGGGAUAACUAUUGGAAACGAUAGCUAAUACCGCAUAAUAUUAAUUAUUGCAUGAUAAUUAAUUGAAAGGUGCAAUUGCACCACUACCAGAUGGACCUGCGUUGUAUUAGCUAGUAGGUGAGGUAACGGCUCACCUAGGCGACGAUACAUAGCCGACCUGAGAGGGUGAUCCGCCACACUGGGACUGAGACACGGCCCAGACUCCUACGGGAGGCAGCAGUAGGGAAUCUUCGGCAAUGGACGAAAGUCUGACCGAGCAACGCCGCGUGAGUGAAGAAGGUUUUCGGAUCGUAAAGCUCUGUUGUAAGAGAAGAACGGGUGUGAGAGUGGAAAGUUCACACUGUGACGGUAUCUUACCAGAAAGAGACGGCUAACUACGUG
rnacentral:rRNA from 1 species